UCCUGUUUGACACAGGCAGUUCCUCCAGAGUCCCCAACUAAAUGAUGGUAACUGAAGGUGAGGGUUGCGCUCGUUGCGGGACUUAACCCAACAUCUCACGACACGAGCUGACGACAGCCAUGCAGCACCUGUCUCUGUUCCGGCCGAACCGAAGUGUACGUUACAUACACGGCGAACAGGAUGUCAAGAGCUGGUAAGGUUCUUCGCGUUGCCUCGAAUUAAACCACAUGCUCCACCGCUUGUGCGGGUCCCCGUCAAUUCCUUUGAGUUUUAAUCUUGCGACCGUACUCCCCAGGCGGGAUGCUUAACGCGUUAGCUACGACACCGAGACUUAAGUCCCGACGUCUAGCAUCCAUCGUUUAGGGCGUGGACUAC
rnacentral:misc_RNA from 1 species